AGUGAACGCUGGCGGUAGGCCUAACACAUGCAAGUCGAACGGCAGCACAGUAAGAGCUUGCUCUUACGGGUGGCGAGUGGCGGACGGGUGAGGAAUACAUCGGAAUCUACUUUUUCGUGGGGGAUAACGUAGGGAAACUUACGCUAAUACCGCAUACGACCUACGGGUGAAAGCAGGGGAUCUUCGGACCUUGCGCGGUUGAAUGAGCCGAUGUCGGAUUAGCUAGUUGGCGGGGUAAAGGCCCACCAAGGCGACGAUCCGUAGCUGGUCUGAGAGGAUGAUCAGCCACACUGGAACUGAGACACGGUCCAGACUCCUACGGGAGGCAGCAGUGGGGAUUAUUGGACAAUGGGCGCAAGCCUGAUCCAGCCAUACCGCGUGGGUGAAGAAGGCCUUCGGGUUGUAAAGCCCUUUUGUUGGGAAAGAAAAGCAGCAGGUUAAUAACCCGCUGUUCUGACGGUACCCAAAGAAUAAGCACCGGCUUACUUCGUG
rnacentral:rRNA from 1 species